rnacentral:tRNA from 1 species
GCCUGGCUGGCUCAGUUGGUGGAGCAUGCAACUCUUGAUUUCAGGAUUGUGGGUUCGAGCCCCACGCUGGGUU